rnacentral:lncRNA from 1 species
GUACUUUUAACGUUCUGGAUACACCCUGAGUAAAUCACCCUAUGAGAACAUCACAGUAAGAUUUUAAAUCUAUUACAACAAUGGCAUCUCUUGUAAGCAAAUGUAUUCAUUUUUUACUCAAUGCCAACUAUAUUAUCAUUCCUGUAUCAAUUUAUUGAAAAACAAGGGCAUAUAUGAACUCUAUCUAUACCUAUCCCCUAGUAAAAGAUUAGAUUAGUGUGGCUUAGGCUUAGUGCAAUGAACAUAACCUAUAAUGUAUAUGACACUCCAUGUAAGCUUAAAAUAUUAACAGUGUUGCCAUAUCAUCCAUUAUUUUCUACUCUCACUUCUAAAAUUAAAAAUCUGGCAAGAGCACAUAAUAUAUCAAUUAAAACUCAAAAA